UACGUAGGGGGCAAGCGUUGUCCGGAUUUAUUGGGUCGUAAAGCGCUCGCAGGUGGUCCGUCGCGUCGUGCGUGAAAGCCCCCGGCUCAACUGGGGAGUGUCGUGCGAUACGGGCGGACUGGAGGCCAGUAGGGGGAUGCGGAAUUCCGGGUGUAGUGGUGGAAUGCGUAGAGAUCCGGAGGAACACCAGUGGCGAAGGCGGGACGACCUGGGCCAAUAUUGACGCUGAGGUGCGAAAGCGUGGGGAG
rnacentral:rRNA from 1 species